rnacentral:rRNA from 1 species
UACGUAGGGUGCGAGCGUUAAUCGGAAUUACUGGGCGUAAAGCGUGCGCAGGCGGUUUUGUAAGCCAGGUGUGAAAUCCCCCGGGCUCAACCUGGGAAUGGCAUUUGGGACUGCAAGGCUGGAGUGCGGCAGAGGAGACUGGAAUUCCUGGUGUAGCAGUGAAAUGCGUAGAUAUCAGGAGGAAUACCGAUGGCGAAGGCAGGUCUCUGGGCUGACACUGACGCUCAUGCACGAAAGCGUGGGGAGCGAAACAACGGAUUGAGA